AGAGUUUGAUCCUGGCUCAGAAUGAACGCUGGCGGCGUGCUUAACACAUGCAAGUCGGACGAGAAAGGCUGAUUUCGGUUGGCCGAGUAAAGUGGCGCACGGGUGAGUAACGCGUAGGCAACCUACCCUUGUAUUGGGGAUAACCCUGCGAAAGUGGGGCUAAUACCGGAUGAGACCCUAUUCUGGAGGGGAUAGGGUGAAAGUCGGCCGCUCGGAGAAGCUGACGUACGAGGAUGGGCCUGCGUCCUAUCAGCUGGUUGGUGGGGUAGCGGCCUACCAAGGCGACGACGGGUAGCUGGUCUGAGAGGAUGAUCAGCCACACUGGCACUGGAACACGGGCCAGACUCCUACGGGAGGCAGCAGUGAGGAAUUUUGCGCAAUGGCCGCAAGGCUGACGCAGCAACGCCGCGUGGGUGAUGAAGGCCUUCGGGUCGUAAAGCCCUGUCAGGUGGGAAGAAAGGCCUUAAGGAGAAAGACUUGAGGUUUGACGGUACCACCAGAGGAAGCACCGGCUAACUCCGUGCCAGCAGCCGCGGUAA
rnacentral:rRNA from 1 species